UACGAAGGGGGCUAGCGUUGCUCGGAAUUACUGGGCGUAAAGGGCGCGUAGGCGGCUCUGUUAGUCAGGCGUGAAAUUCCUGGGCUCAACCUGGGGACUGCGCUUGAUACGGCAGAGCUUGAGGAUGGAAGAGGGUCGCGGAAUUCCCAGUGUAGAGGUGAAAUUCGUAGAUAUUGGGAAGAACACCGGUGGCGAAGGCGGCGACCUGGUCCAUUACUGACGCUGAGGCGCGACAGCGUGGGGAGCAAACAGG
rnacentral:rRNA from 1 species